GUAGGUCAUAAAUACGUAUAUAAAUUGCAUGACUGCUACGGAGCAUCUACAAGUAAGGUCAGGUGGAAGUGUGUUCUUAGAGAAUGCAUGCAUCUCAAAGAUGAUAAAGAUCGGUAGCUAUCUGCCCUCAGAUGACAUGGAUGCUGCACCAGCAUGGGUACUAAACAGAGUCAAAGCGUAUUUGAAAAAUGAUAUGGUAUACUUUCCAAUAAACAUGGAGGACGUUCACUGGUACCUAUGUGUUAUAAAUGCCAUAAAAAAAAUGUGUCCAGGUGCUCGACUCGCUAGGCCCAUACAUGAGCCGCAAGGACCUCACUGAUACGGUCUGCACUUCAUCCUACUGCCCCAUCUUUUCUAAGAAGCUUUUUUUUCUUAUUUCUCACUUGUGAUGCUUAUACUUUUUCCAUUUUUUGGUACACCAGCUAGAAGGACUGGAGGAUUUAUUCAAAUAUGCAUCCAAGCACAUGGAAUUAAAAUCCGAUAAGUGGACUGAUCUAGAUGUUACAACAUG